rnacentral:SRP_RNA from 1 species
GCUGGGUGUGGUGGUGCGCACCUGUAAUCCCAGCUGCUCGGGAAGCUGAGACAGGAGAAUUGCUUGAACCCAGGAGGCUGAAGUUGCAGUAAGCCAAGAUUGUGCCACUGCACUCCAACCUGGGCAACACAGCAAGACUCCGUCUCAA